rnacentral:lncRNA from 1 species
AGUGCUGGUGGUGCUCAUGCUGGUCAUGUGUGUAAGGCGGAGACAGCCAAAGUUUUCUCCGGCGAAGAUGACGUACAAUAUUUUCAUAAUGAACGGGAAGGCUUGGUGGCAAAAUUCCCAAGAUAAGCACCUGAAAAAAUUUACGGGAAAGCAGAAGUACCCGAAGUUCAAUUCUUUUGUCUAAGCCCGUGGAGGGGCCAACAAACUGCCACCCAGCCACUGCCGGAGGGUUCUUUCGCGCUACCUGGACAGAAAUCAAAGGAUUUGAAGUUAAGUCCCUACCUUGAAGCCCAGGAAGAAAAAAAAGCCAAAAGAGGAGCCAUCAAGUGGUAGACAACAACCCUAGAGCCAUCGUUUGAGCCCGGAGCUGGUUGUCUUGAAGCCCAUCUCUGGGAUCUUCAUUUCCUCAUACAGUAAUUACCAAACAC